UGCUAACUUUGGCAGCAGUAUACUAAAAUUGGAACGAUACAGAGAAGAUUAGCAUGACCCCUGCAUAAGGAUGACAUGUUUUUAAAAAUUUUU
ensembl:snRNA U6 U6 spliceosomal RNA